GACGAACGCUGGCGGCGUGCUUAACACAUGCAAGUCGAACGGAAGGCCCUUCGGGGUACUCGAGUGGCGAACGGGUGAGUAACACGUGGGUGAUCUGCCCUGCACUUUGGGAUAAGCCUGGGAAACUGGGUCUAAUACCGAAUAUGACCAUGCACUUCCUGGUGUGUGGUGGAAAGCUUUUUGCGGUGUGGGAUGGGCCCGCGGCCUAUCAGCUUGUUGGUGGGGUAAUGGCCUACCAAGGCGACGACGGGUAGCCGGCCUGAGAGGGUGACCGGCCACACUGGGACUGAGAUACGGCCCAGACUCCUACGGGAGGCAGCAGUGGGGAAUAUUGCACAAUGGGCGCAAGCCUGAUGCAGCGACGCCGCGUGAGGGAUGACGGCC
rnacentral:rRNA from 1 species